UGAGGUCCAGGUGGAAGGGAAGAUCCUACUGUGAGGUCCAGGUGGAAGGGAAGAUCCUACUGUGAGGUCCAGGUGGAAGGGAAGAUCCUACUGUGAGGUCCAGGUGGAAGGGAAGAUCCUACUGUGAGGUCCAGGGUGAAGGGAAGAUCCUACUGUGAGGUCCAGGUGGAAGGGAAGAUCCUACUGUGAGGUCCAGUGUGAAGGGAAGAUCCUACUGUGAGGUCCAGGUGGAAGGGAAGAUCCUACUGUGAGGUCCAGGUGGAAGGGAAGAUCCUACUGUGAGGUCCAGGUGGAAGGGAAGAUCCGCUGGGCUUUAGGAUUGGCCAGAGAGCCCAUCAACAGGAAGGGGAGUAUUACGCUAAAUCUAAUAAAUGGGUUCUACACUGUAAGGCUGAGGAGGGAUGAGAAUGUGGCUAAUGCAGAACACGGUGUACCUCUCUCACUGAAUGAGAAGCCCCGGAAUGCUGGGGUGUAUGCAGAUUAUGAGGAGGGGGAGGGCAACCAAUGUGGAGGCCAGGUUUCAUGUGUACUCUUUCACUGGCUGCACCUUCACUGAGAGGCUGUACCCAUUCUUCUUUGCAGGUGAUAAUAAUGGUGGUAAAAACACAGCACCAAUUUUCAUCUGUCCUAUAAGGCCCUUAGCUUAGUUUGACAUCAAAUGGGUUUUUGCAAUGUGAGGCUCUAAAUCACAACCAAAGUGUAAAUAUUCAACAUUCCAAUCAUACUGAGAAAAAGGCAAUGUCUAAGUUAAGUUUCAUCACUGUAUCCUCCGUACUAAUCACAAUCCAGGAAGCUGUUGCGCAUGCAGUCUUUCAAGGAUGUUACAUUCUUGAGUAUAUGUAGAACAAUCCUUAACCACCAGGGUGCGCCGUUUGACCACAGGUGAAACAUACUGCUCUCACUGCUGCCAUCUGCUGGAGAAGAAAAGAUCCGACAGCGAAAUGGAUAAAUGUUUUGCCUCCAUACUCAUUACAUUAAACUAAAGAUGAAAAGAUCAA